UACGUAGGGGGCAAGCGUUGUCCGGAUUUAUUGGGCGUAAAGAGCGUGUAGGCGGCCAUACAGGUCAGCUGUGAAAACUCGAGGCUCAACCUCGAGACGUCGGUUGAAACCGUAUGGCUAGAGUCCGGAAGAGGAGAGUGGAAUUCCCGGUGUAGCGGUGAAAUGCGCAGAUAUCGGGAAGAACACCCGUGGCGAAGGCGGCUCUCUGGGCCGUAACUGACGCUGAGGAGCGAAAGCGUGGGGAGCGAACAGG
rnacentral:rRNA from 1 species